GGAAGAUUUGAACACCCCUACACCGAAUUCCUAUUUUUUGGUGAGGACACAGCUCGGGACUUUAUUCCUGUUAAGCAACUCCGUGAGAAGUACGACCAGCCACGAUAUGAAGCUUCUGGAGAUGAAAAUGACGACGAUGGCAGUACAAAUAGCUGAACGGUAACAAGAGUUUUGUAGACCAUUCCUGAUGCACACCACCAAGGAUUUAGAAUGAUGGAUGACAUAGAUACGAUCUGGUAGCUACAUAGCAAUGGGCAAAUUUUAGUGAUGACCGAGCUAUCACAGAAUCGCAAGAGUGCACAGAAACAUGCAAGGAGAGAAGCUACAUGUAGCAUCUGACCUUGCAGAUUGGGGUGAUAUGCACUGUGCAGUCCAGGAAUGAUUGCAAAUAUUAAACAUGCAAGCUGCAACUUCCUCCCUACGCUUGAGUGUGAAUGGUUCUAAUGUCUGGGAAUGUAAAGAAGAUCCUUAUGUAUAUGUGGUGCAUAUCUGCCUGUGAACCCUCUGAUAUGUACAUAGCUACAUACAUCAUACUUGCAAUUUUGCUGAAGUAUAUAGAAUAAGAAAGGCUUUAGGUACA